UGGUAGCUCAGUUGGAUAGAGUGUUUGGCUACGAACCAAAAGGUCGGGGGUUCGAAUCCCUUCCAG
rnacentral:tRNA from 1 species